CCGGGUGUAGCGCAGUUGGUAGCGCGCAUGGUUCGGGUCCAUGAGGCCGUGGGUUCAAAUCCCGCCACUCGGACCA
rnacentral:tRNA from 4 species